ensembl:lncRNA
GUGGCCAAGAAGGCCAGUGGCAUCCUGGCUUAUAUCAGAAAUAGUUUCUCCUGCUGGACCAAGUUGAUGAUCAUCCCCCUGUAUUCAGCUCUGUUGAGAUCACACUUUGAGUACUGUGUUCAGUUUUGGGCCCCUCACUACAAGCCUUUGAAGCCCUGGAGUGUGUCCAGAGAAGGCCAAUGAAGCUUGUGAAGGGUCUGGAACACAAGUCUUAUGAUAAGCAGCUGAGGGAACUGGGAUUGUUUAACCUGGAGAAGAGGAGUUGCAGGGGAGACCAUAUUGCUCUCAACAGCUCCCAGAAGGGAGGUUGUAGAGAGGUGGGGAUCAGCCUGUUCUCCCAGGUAACUAGAGAUAGGACCAGAGGGAAUGACCUCACAUUGUGCCAUGGGAGAUUCAGGUUGGAUAUUAGAAUUCUAUGAUUGUUUUUCUAUGGUUGUCUUUCUAUGAUUGCUUAUGUUGCUGACAUAAAGACUCCUCAUAUCUAUCUCUAUUUUACUUGUUUGCAAUUUUUUUUUUAUUGGGAAAAAGCUAUUAUAUUUUUCUUACCAUCAUCUAGUUUUCUCUUUCCUGAACUGUUCCUUUCAGAUAACAGUAUCUCAGAUUGAGGAGACUGGAGCCUUGGCAGUUUCGUGUCUUCCUCCUGCUAUAUCUGCAGUUGUAGCCUCCCAUCCACCUGUUACUCCAUAAGGAAAAGAUUGACUUAAAGGGACCUAUUCUCAGAGCAAUUACAGGCAAACCAUGCUCAACUUUCUCAGACAGCAGAAAUUUAUGAAGUAGAAUUCAGUCCCAGGAGACCUUCCUACGAUUUGAAGGGUGGGAUUAUUUGUUCAAAUAUGCUUUUGAAAGCCAUUUUAUAAAGUAUCUAAGAAGUUGAAUGCUUGAAGAUAAUAUUUUGAACAUUACAAAAUAUAUGAAUGUUUAAUUUCUACUCCUUCUUAUCCUAGUUUCAUUCAGAGAGGUUUGUGCAGUCACUUGUUCCAUCUAUCUUUCCCCUGAUAACACUUUACCUUCUAGCCAAUUUAAUAAAAUUUGAUGCACAAGUGCAGAACCCCAAACAGGAAAUGCUCUAGAUUUUAUAAAAUUCAGAGCUUGGUAGAAUGAGGUGGGGGGGGAGAAGUAUUUAUACUCUCCAAUUACAUACUAUACUGGGGAAAAAAUGUAUCAAGAGCUCAAGAGUUCUUCCCAGUCUGCCCCUUCAUAGGAUGAUUUAGAUUCAGUGCCAUCUUGGUGAUUUCUUGCUCACUCCCGCCUGAUGGCCAUGUGGAGAUCACAGAGCUCAGAUGAAAUCGUAGUAGAAGUUAAUUUCUGCCUAGGUGACAGGUGGGAAAGAGGUCAUGGAAUGAACAAAAAAUGUUCAUAAGGUAUUUGUGGAACAAAAUGGUAAACUGAGGCAGAAUUGUCAUAUACAAAGUAGACACCCUUUUGUGAGGAAAACAGCAUAAGUCCCUGAGAAAGAGAAAGAGUUUAAUUAGUUUAAUUGUUCAUUAAACAAUAAGUUAUGAAUGGAAGUUGAUUUUACCUUCUCUCUCUUUGUCUCGCUCCAAUUUAUCAGAGGGAGAGGAGGUUCUUUGAUGUUUGUAUACCUGGCAUGAGAUUAAGAAACAAUGGUUCAAAUGUUGGUCUGAGCAGUUUAUUACAAAUCCUAGUCAUUCAGGGAGAUGGGGAAGGGGAGAAGGGCGACAGAAAAGAUAGGAAAUAGAAGCAAGGAGUCUGUAUAGGAAGCAGGAGGGAGAUAGUCACCACCAUGUUCCAGUGUGGUUCGUAGUUCAGUCAUUGAUCUUCAGUAGUGGUGGGUCGGCAGGCGUUGUUCUGUUGACAACGGUGUCCAUGGUGACAACGACGACAACGAUGGCAGUACAAACUUAUUUAUAAGUCCAAAGUGGUUGAGUCAGCUCUCUUUUGAGUGACAGCUCGAAUCAGAAGUGGUUGAGUCAGCUCUUCUUGGAGUGGCAGCUACUGGCUGUGGGAUCUGAGCAAAAAUUCCUUUGUUAUCAUCUUCCGGGCCUUGCCAGCAGAUAAGAGGAAGCAGGGAUGCCCAUCUGCAUCCUGUUUUUCACAGGGCAUGAUGGUGUCGUUCCCUAAUUUUCCCACACCAAGCUGGGGCUAUUAGGCCAGAUCUUCCACCAGUAAUCACUCCUGAGCACUCUCUUCCGGAGGCAAGCAGCUCUGGAGGAAGGUGCUUUCAAAUGUCAAAGUGAUGUUGAUUGUCACAUGGUAGCACCCAUCAUUUGCCACCUCCAUAAAUCAGUUAAGAGUCUUAUCACAAGGAAUACCUCAGGAAGCAAGCUUUGAGACAGAAGACAAAGAAGGGUUCUCACACUCUUUUAUAAAUACUUCUGUGAUAACACUGAAAAAAACAAACAAACAAACAAAAAAACAAAACAGGAGCCUUAGGAGCUGCUUAGGAUUUUGUAAGGAGUAAAUAUCCUAGAAAAUUAAAGAGAGUGUUAUGAUUAUAUGAGGUUUUUAAGGUAAACAAUUUAAUCAAAAUUUUAUGUACAUUCGUAAGUGCACAUUUACAAGCUGAAAUAAAUAUUUCUAUUUCAGCAUUGCAUUUAGAAUAUUAACACUAGAUUUCUGAGUUUUAGGAUUUACUACAAACACCCACACAUACAUGUAUUUCAUUCUUGAAAGGCAUUUUUUAGUUGUGUACCUCAGAAUAUACGUCUGCUUCUGAAGGUAGAAAUGAGUGAAUGAUGAAUUGGAAUGAUGAAUUAUUUUUAAAUAUUUAAUAAAGUAUAACUUUUUCUUCCUAUACCCACACAUCUUUCUAGCUGUCUCUCUCCAGCAAUGGAUGCACUGUUGGAAGCUUUGAAAAAAAAUCCAGAAUUACAAAGUUGCUAACAGAGCACAUGGGAGUAGCACAUGCAGGUGAGCUAAAGGUCAAAGAAUUCUUGAUGUGCAAGUAAAUGUGUUUAGGCAAAACAGUAUAUGAUCAAAGUUGAGUACAGAAGGGCUUAAUUUUUUUGAAAUUCAUAAAAUCUCCUUGGAAGUUCAUAAAAUCUUAAUAAACAUUUUCUCUCUUUUGAGAACAUCUUUUGUUAUUGUUGUUUUUUUGUUUUGAUUUGUUUUUUUCCUGUGCUUUCAUUUUUUACUUCUCCUAUACCUAACAUUCCUAAAACAUAACAACAGACUAAUAAUCUUGCUAGACUGUAUAAUAAUAUGAUAUUUAGCUUUUUAAAAAAAAAAAAUUGAGUUUAACUAUUUUUUUUUAAAUUAAAAUUGAUUUUUUUCUGAAAUAGAUGAUAGUUUUUAAAUUGGAACACAAGUCUUAAUAUGGUAGGUUUUUUCUCAGUACUUUACCAUGGAAUCAUAAAAAGUCAAUGGCUGGCAGUUACAUCUGGCUGUUUUGUCCAUGAGCUUAUCCGUUUAACUUCCUGUACUAAGCAAGGCUUACUUGGAACCUAGAAACAGAUUUCCCAUUGAGUUUUUGAGCCAAGCUUUGAAUAUCAAGGAUGAGAUUUCACUGCAACCCUGGACAAGCUGUUCCAUGCUUAGUCAUUCACGAAGUUAAAAUAACUUCCUCUAUAUUUAGUCAUAGCUUUCUUUAUCAUAACCUGUGCCUACUGUAGUUGGUCCUAUACAUCUCACAGGAGAGACUGGCAGCUAAAAGCUCAUUUUCUAGGCUAAACUGAUCAUGUAACCUUCCUCGUUAUGGCUUUGUAUCUUAAUUAUCAAUGUUAUAGAAGAGUGAUGAGUCACAUAAUUUCUUUUUUUUUUAUUAGUUUUAGCUUUGUUUGGGUAGAUGAUGAAAAAGGAAUGAUAAAAUUGUUGUGCCUUCAGUUAGAAAACUGCAAGAUUGUCACAGUCAUACCAAAGAUAAAUUACCAGCAUUUCACUGAUUCUCAGUGAGUGUAUUUAUAGGAGGGUAGAUGACUAUAUUAACUUAAACACAACAAGAAGAUGUUAUUAUUUGUUACUUUAACAUCGUAUAACUGUAAAAUAUACAAUUAAGGCUGUAAAUUUAAAAUAUUUUAUGUAUUCCUGAAUCUGAAGAAAUAACAUGAAAUGCUGCUUGUUCAUUAAGAAGAAACCUUUAUUCUGACGCCAGUAUAUUUACUAUGACCAUAGUAAAUAUAAUAAAACAACAACCAAACAAACCACAACAAGCCCCAGCUAAAUAUUUGUCUGUCUCAAACAGGAACACAGGACUUAAAAAUCCUUAAAUAUUUUAGAUCCAUUUCACAAACUUUAUUAUUUUAGUUUGUCAAAAACAGUAUUUAAAAAAUAUAUAUUUUCCUACUUUUCCAAGUCUGUUUCACUUACUGGAAAAACAAAAGCAAACAAGCAAAACAAACAAACAAACAAAAACCAACCUUUUUUUUUUUUAAGCUAUAUGCUUUUUGACAGAUCAAAAUUUCCUACUUCUAAAUUUCAAUUUGAAACUUCCAGCAAGGCCACUUUUAAAAAUUGGUGUUUAUAACAUUUUCUGGUGAAAGACAGAGGACACAGAUCAUAUCAUUUUUUAGGUGUACUAGCAAUAAAUGUUGUUUAUCCCAACAACACUUAUUCAUUAAAGUCAAUUUAAAGACUUCUCAAAGAUGACAGUUGAAACCAACGUUACAGUAAUAUAUAGUAUGCAUUUUCCUCUCCAAUUUUACUUUUUACUCCUAAUCUUUCACUAUGAUAUCUGUUGCUUUUGUAAGCCCUUGAAACAAAUUGAUUCCAAGUGAACUAUUUGGAGAAAAUGAAUUGAAUGUGCUAGUAAUAUUGAAAUUAUCUAAGCUGCAGUGUUUUUUUAAUAACUUAUUUUGCAGCUGGUAUUUUGGUAUAUUUGAGAGACAUUCAAGCUAAAAAUCUUGGUGAUUCAGCAAUGCCCAGGGAACUUAGAAAUGAUGAUGUUUCCAGAUUGUAAUGUCAGCAUGACAUUCUCCUCCAGAAUUGUGUCUGUGUAUUGCCUUCAGGCUAGGUAACUGACUGAUAGAACACAGGGGAAAAAAAAAAAAAAAAAAAGCAACUAUAUUAAAUUUCCAAUUUUGACUGUAGGCAUGAACAGGUGAUUUCAUAUUUUCUUUUUCUCAUAUGUUUACUUUCAUCUCUAUCUAAAAAUAUAGUGGGAAAAGAGUAACAGUUCACAGAGUAAAUUAAUAUGGACUAGCAUAUCACAGUAGAGAAACAGUUAUUCAUCCAGGGAUCACUUUUUAACUAAUAUAAUUGUGUGUAUAAAAUGUUAAGAACAAUUUACCAAAAGUAUUCUGAGAAUUCUUCACAGAGUCACAACUGUCUGCAUAAGUACAACAUUCUUAUCUUUAAAGUUUUCUUAAAUGUCUCAGCUGUAGGAUCAGAAGGUGUUUUGAGCAAGUUUGCUGAUGAUAUUAAAUUGGAAAGAUCUGUUGACUCCAUUGAGGGUGGAAAGACCUUGCAGCAAGAUCUAGACAAAUUAGCAAGCUGGGCAACCACCAGCUGCAGGAAAUGUAAUAAAAACAAGGGCCAAGUUCUGUACCUGGGAAGGGAACUGUAUCUGUCUGGCUAUACAUACAGACAGGAUGAUGAGACACUGGAGACCGGCUCUGCUAAAAGGAAUUUGGGAAAUUUGGGAGUCUUGGUCAAAGGCAAGUUGAACAUGAGUCAACAGUGAGCACAGGCAUCCAGGACAACCAACCAUGCCCUGGAGUGCAUCAGGCCCACUACUGCCAGCUGGGUGAGGGUAGUGAUUAUCCUGCUUUGAUGCACUGCACUGACGCAGCCUCACCUCAAGUACUGUAUGCAGGUUUGGUUGCCACAGUACAAAAAGGGUGUAAAAUUAUUAUAGUAUCCAAAAGAGGUCUACAAAGAUAGGCAAGUUACUAGAAGGGAUGGUGUAUGAGGAAAAGCUGAAGUCCAUUAGUUUGUUCAGGUUGGAGAAGAGAAGUCUGAGAGGAGACCUCAUCACAGCCUACAGAUUCUUCAUGAGAGAACAGCAUGAAGCUGCAACAGGGGAGGGUCAGGUUGGAUAUCAGGAAAAGAUUCUUCACUGAGUUGGUGAUCAGGCACAGGAGCAGGUUCCCCAGGGCAGUGGUCAUGUCACUGAGCUUGCCAAAGUUAAAGAAGCACCUAGAAAAUGCUCUCAGACAUCUGAUCUGAUUUUAGGGUCAUCCUUUGUGGGAGCUGGACACAGUGAUCCUUAUGGAUCCCUUCCAGCUCUCAAUAUUCUAUGAACAUUUCUGGAUAAAUUUCCAAGGUAAUGGUCGCUGUUUACAUGGCUAUCAUGGAAUCUAUUUCAAGUACAAUUCCUGCUUCAAUAUAAAAGCAUUGAAACUGCAGUAAUUUGUUUCCUUUACUGAUACAAGUAAAUUUAAAAAACAGCAAAAUUAAUGAAAAUGUGCUUAAUUCAUAUUAAGCUGAAUUAUAAUUAAAUGAUUAUGUCAAAAGCAAUUCAUAAAACUAUACCAAACUAAAACACUUUGAAAUACAAGCAUGCAAAUCAUCUUUUAGCGUUUGUUUAAUUUCUUAGCUUUUUGCACUAGAGGAACGCAGAUUAUGUAAAAUUCUAUUGCUAUAUUUAUACUUUGUUUUGUUUUGUAUGUUUUGUCUGUGUUGGGAGAGAACACUCCUUUGAUUAACCUGUAAAAUACACUGUUAUCAAUGCUGUAAAUUUUUAUUUUGAAAUUACUUAAAUGAACUAGCAGAAAUAUGCAUGAAUCUUAUUUCUUUGCAAUUGGGAAAGCUAUAGUGAGGGUAAGCAAUAAAAUCUUGAAAAUAAGAUUGAGAGUGAAUUCUAAAAUACUAAGACACUGUGAAUCUUUCUUUUCCAAUGAAGAUAAUAAGAAGGAAAAUUACAUUAUUAACAUCGUCUGCAAUCUUGUAUUGUUGGCCUAAAGAUCAAUAAGAUCACAAGUGGUGUUCCCCAGGGGUCGGUGCUGGGGCCUGUCCUCUUUAAUGUCUUUAUUGAUGACCUUGAUGAGGGUAUUGAGUGCACCCUCAGUAAGUUUGCAGAUGACACUAAGCUGGCUGGAAGUGUUGAUCUGCCUGAGGGUAGCGAGGCCUUACAGAGGGAUCUGGAUAGGUUGGAUAGCUGGGCUGAAGCCAAUGGGAUGGGAUUCAACAAGACCAAAUGCCGGAUCCUGCACUUUGGCCGCAAUAACCCCAGGCAACGCUACAGGCUUGGGGCAGAGUGGCUGGAAGACUGUGGAGAGGAAAUGGACCUGGGGGUGUUUGACACUAGACUGAACAUGAGCCAGCAGUGUGCCCAGGUGGCCAAGAAGGCCAAUGGCAUCCUGGCUUGUAUCAGAAAUAGUGUGGCCAGCAGGAACAGGGAAGUAAUUAUUCCCCUGUACUCAGCACUGGUGAGGCCGCACCUUGAGUACUGUGUCCAGUUUUGGGCCCCUCACUGUAAGAAAGACGUCGAGGCCCUGGAGUGUGUCCAGAGAAAGGCAACAAAGCUGGUGAGGGGUCUGGAGCACAGGUUUUAUGAAGAGCGGCUGAAAGAGCUGGGGUUGUUCAGUCUAGAGAAGAGGAGGCUCAGGGGAGACGUUAUUGCUCUCUAUAACUACCUGAAGGGAGGUUGUAGUGAGCUGGGGGUCAGCCUCUUCUCUCGUGUGACUAGUGACAGGACUGGAGGGAAUGGCUUCAAGCUGCGUCAGGGAAAAUGCAGGCUGGACAUUAGGAAAUACUACUUCUGUGAAAGGGUGGUCAGGCACUGGAAUGGGCUGCCCAGAGAGGUGGUGGAGUCACCGACCCUGGUGGUGUUUAAAGAGCGUUUGGAUGUUGUGUUGAGGGACAUGGUUUAGCGAGAAGCAUUGAUGAAGGGCAAAUGGUUGGACUGGAUGAUCCUGUGGGUCUUUUCCAACCUUAGCGAUUCUAUGAUUCUGUGAUCCUAAGGAUAUUAAUUUAAAACAUUCACUAAUUUAUAUGCUGCUUAUGCAUAACUCGAUGAUGAUUUAUAGCAUCACUUGCUGUUUUUUGCCUAUUUUCAAGGCAAAGAAGGUUAUGAUAUAGAGGGUGUAUAGAGAGUUUCAGUACUGGUUUUGUUAAAGAUGUUAAACCAUAUUGGUUCGAGGAAAAAAACCCACCAGACAGAGCUUAGAGACUGCUGUUGAUACAUAAAAUUAAAAAAUAAAACAAACAAAUAAAGCAACAGAAAAACCCAUUCUAUUUUAACAGUAUCAAGCUUCCAUAAGCAAGAGCCAUUGUCAUAAAUGUUUAUGUCAAGGUUUUGAAAGCCUGCAAUAUGACAUAUCUUUGAGUCAUGGAGAUCAGACAAGUAAGUAAUGUGAACCAUCUUUGGAUUUCAUUUCACAGAGAGCUGUGCAAAAUAUUACAGCAAAGCUGAAAACUUUCCUUCCAUUUUUUAGAUGUUUCUGUUCUUAUAUUAAUGAAAGUUGCGUGGUACAACUGUAUUUAUCAAGUGUGACAUAAACUAAUGCAUUGAGUUAAAAAAAAAAAUAGAAAACCAAGAUUAGAGGGAAAUAAUGAAAUUAAAUUUGUAAUUCUGUACGUGAGCAGGCACAGAAAACAACCGGAAAAAAAAAGUUUUCUAAAAAAAGCUGAAUUUUACAGUCUUUAUGUGACGUCUUUAACAAUAUAUGCAAUAAUGUUUUAAAGACUAAUUUAAUUACUAAUUACACAUUUUUCCAUUUCACAAUGACAUUAGAACAUAAAGAAUAGGACUCAGAUCAGUCCAUCCUAUAUUACACUGGUGAGCCACAGAGUGUUUUUUUAAUUCUUAAUGUCUUAUUAAGUGUCAGUAUGAUGAACAGUCUUUUGAAAGAUGUGGCAGUGUCAUCUUUAGACAGACACAAGGUUGUAAUGUACAUUGCACAACAGUAUUUGCAUAAUGUUCUUAUAAUGCUAUCAUACAGUACUUCAAACUUUAAAAACACAAAGCAUGGAAAGAUUAAAGUUUAAUAAAGCUGAAAUAUAUUCAGUAUGAGCAUCUGAAAUUUGUAAUUUCUGUAUGUAAUGGUUUAACUAUGUACUCCCGAUUACUCUUGAAUCUGCAACACUUCUGGCUGACAAGAUACAAUAUUAAUCUUUAGCUGGAUUGUUAGUAGUAUAUUUAGGAGUUUUCAAUAAUAAUAAUAAAAAAACUUAUUCUAAUGUUUCUUUAAUUAGAGUAACAAAUGAGAAUGCAGUGAAAGUUAUAGUAUUACAAGCAGGAAGCAUUCCUAAUCAAUUGUAUCCGGAAGAUAUCAUAUGUUCAGUGACCAUGAUGGAG